AUCAAGGUGGGAGCAUGGCAGUUUCCAGGCAGGCAUGGUGCAGGCCAAGCUGAGAGUUCUACAUUUUCAUCUGAAGGUGGCUAGUGGAAGACUGACUUCCAGGCUGCUAGGAUGAGGGUCUUAAGCCCACACCCACAGUGACACACCUAAUCCAACAAGGCCACACCUCCUCAUAGGGCCACACAAGCAUAUAUAAACCAUCACAACCGCUAUGUGUGUGUUUUCAAAGGGACACUAAGAGAGGGAAACAUGACUUUACACUGAAAGAGAUAAAGCAGAACUAGGGAUACCUGGAGGCCUACACUUUAGUUGAUUUUUGAAGGGUAGUUUAUAUUGCAUACUUGCGAAGAACUGCUGGCAAUCAUGGAAGGAAGGCUCUGUGCUAUGUUUCCUAUUUGUAUGUCGUAGAGGAGGAAAGCACUCAACCAUUACUGUACCAAGUGGGAACCGUAAUGAACAAACGGUAAGGGUGUGAUGGUGUUCUCCUGACAUGUCAAAGUAUUACUGUCAUGGCCUCCCUUAGUCACAGCACACAGCAUCGCCGUUGCUCUUCCAGAACAAUAGUGCCUAUGUAAUAAGCUAACUAAAUGGGGGCAUAUGAACAGCUUUUUUAAAAAAGAUUUAUUUAUUAUUAUAUCUAAGUACACUGUAGCUGUCUUCAGAUGCACCAGAAGAGGGCUUCAGAUCUCAUUACAGAUGGUUGUGGGCCACCAUGUGGUUGCUGGGAUUUGAACUCAGGACCUUCAGAAGAACAGUCGGUGCUCUUAACCAUUUAGCCAUCUCUCCAGCCCCAUAUGAGCAGCUUUUAAGAUUUACUAUUUUUAAUAUUAAAUUCUAUUACAUGUUUGAUUUCCAGGUACUGUGAAAAAUAAAUGCUUCUUAGUGAGCUACACGUCAUGCCUAAGCAUCGUGCUCUUUGCCCACAGCCUCGUCUCAGAAUGUUUCUUAACUUCUUUUCAAAAAAACAAAUGCCUGAAUACUGCCACUGACCCCAAAAUGUGACCAGUAUACAAAGUCCUAAUAUGUUUAGUUACUUUUUCUAAUGUCCAAAAAAACCUGAUUGUGCCUUAUUAUCAAAAUUUGACUUUGAGCUAAGUGUGGUCGUACACACCUUUAAUUCCAGCCCUGUGCAGGCAGAGGCAGGGCCAUCUUUAGCCGGUGGAGGGCAGCCUAUUCCAUAGCAUGUCCCAGACUCUCCAGAGCUAUAUAGUAAAACCCUGUCUCAAAAUAGAAAAACAAAAC
rnacentral:lncRNA from 1 species